UACGGGGGGAGCAAGCGUUGUUCGGAUUUACUGGGCGUAAAGGGCGGGUAGGCGGCCACCGCAAGUCGACUGUGAAAUCUCCGGGCUUAACCCGGAAAGGUCAGCCGAUACUGCGGGGCUAGAGUGCAGAAGGGGCAACUGGAAUUCUCGGUGUAGCGGUGAAAUGCGUAGAUAUCAGGAGGAACACCGAUGGCGAAGGCAGCUCGCUGGGACGGUACUGACGCUGAGACGCGAAAGCGUGGGGAGCAAACAGG
rnacentral:rRNA from 1 species